CCUACGGGUGGCAGCAGUGAGGAAUAUUGGUCAAUGGGCGCGAGCCUGAACCAGCCAAGUAGCGUGAAGGAUGACUGCCCUACGGGUUGUAAACUUCUUUUAUAAAGGAAUAAAGUGAGGCACGUGUGCCUUUUUGUAUGUACUUUAUGAAUAAGGAUCCGCUAACUCCGUGCCAGAAGCCGCGGUAAUACGGAGGAUCCGAGCGUUAUCCGGAUUUAUUGGGUUUAAAGGGAGCGUAGAGGGGUUGUUAAGUCAGGUGUGAAAGUUUGUGGCUCAACCGUAAAAUUGCAAUUGAUACUGGCAGCCUUGAGUACAGUUGAGGUAGGCGGAAUUCGUGGUGUAGCGGUUAAAUGCUUAGAUAUCACGAAGAACUCCGAUUGCGAAGGCAGCUUACUAAACUGUCACUGACAUUGAGGCUCGAAAGUGUGGGUAGCAAACAGGAUUAGAUACCCUUGUAGUC
rnacentral:rRNA from 1 species